AUACGGAGGGUGCAAGCGUUACUCGGAAUUCACUAGGGCGUAAAGCGCGCGCUAGGCAGCCCGUUAAGUUGGAUGUGAAAUCCUAUGGCUCAACCAUAGAACUGCAUCCAAAACUGAUGGGCUAGAGUCUGGGAGGGGAAGAUGGAAUUAGUGGUGUAGGGGUAAAAUCCGUAGAGAUCACUAGGAAUACCAAAGCGAAGGCGAUCUUCUGGAACAGUACUGACGCUGAGGCGCGAAAGCGUGGGGAGC
rnacentral:rRNA from 1 species